GACGAACGCUGGCGGCGUGCUUAACACAUGCAAGUCGAACGGAAAGGCCCUGCUUUCAGGGUACUCGAGUGGCGAACGGGUGAGUAACACGUGGGUGAUCUGCCCUGCACUUCGGGAUAAGCUUUGGAAACUGUGUCUAAUACCGGAUAGGAACCAUCUUUAGUUUGGUGGUUGGAAAGUUUUUUCGGUGUAGGAUGAGCUCGCUGCCUAUCAGCUUGUUGGUGGGGUAAUGGCCUACCAAGGCGGCGACGGGUAGCCGGCCUGAGAGGGUGUACGGCCACAAUGGGACUGAGAUACGGCCCAGACUCCUACGGGAGGCAGAAGUGGGGAAUAUUGAACAAUGGGAGCAAGCCUGAUGCAGCGACGCCGCGUGGGGGAUGAAGGCCUUCGGGUUGUAAACUACUUUCGCUAGGGAAGAAGCUUUUUGUGACGGUACCUAGAUAAGAAGCACCGGCUAACUACGUG
rnacentral:rRNA from 1 species